CCUUCGGGUGUGACUGCGUACCUUUUGUAUAAUGGGUCAGCGACUUAUAUUCUGUAGCAAGGUUAACCGUAUAGGGGAGCCGCAGGGAAACCGAGUCUUAACUGGGCGUUAAGUUGCAGGGUAUAGACCCGAAACCCGGUGAUCUAGCCAUGGGCAGGUUGAAGGUUGGGUAACACUAACUGGAGGACCGAACCGACUAAUGUUGAAAAAUUAGCGGAUGACUUGUGGCUGGGGGUGAAAGGCCAAUCAAACCGGGAGAUAGCUGGUUCUCCCCGAAAGCUAUUUAGGUAGCGCCUCGUGAACUCAUCUUCGGGGGUAGAGCACUGUUUCGGCUAGGGGGUCAUCCCGACUUACCAACCCGAUGCAAACUACGAAUACCGAAGAAUGUUAUCACGGGAGACACACGGCGGGUGCUAACGUCCGUCGUGAAGAGGGAAACAACCCAGACCGCCAGCUAAGGUCCCAAAGUCAUGGUUAAGUGGGAAACGAUGUGGGAAGGCACAGACAGCCAGGAUGUUGGCUUAGAAGCAGCCAUCAUUUAAAGAAAGCGUAAUAGCUCACUGGUCGAGUCGGCCUGCGCGGAAGAUGUAACGGGGCUAAACCAUGCACCGAAGCUGCGGCAGCGACACUAUGUGUUGUUGGGUAGGGGAGCGUUCUGUAAGCCUGCGAAGGUGUGCUGUGAGGCAUGCUGGAGGUAUCAGAAGUGCGAAUGCUGACAUAAGUAACGAUAAAGCGGGUGAAAAGCCCGCUCGCCGGAAGACCAAGGGUUCCUGUCCAACGUUAAUCGGGGCAGGGUGAGUCGACCCCUAAGGCGAGGCCGAAAGGCGUAGUCGAUGGGAAACAGGUUAAUAUUCCUGUACUUGGUGUUACUGCGAAGGGGGGACGGAGAAGGCUAUGUUAGCCGGGCGACGGUUGUCCCGGUUUAAGCAUGUAGGCUGGUUAUCCAGGCAAAUCCGGAUAAUCAAGGCUGAGGUGUGAUGACGAGGCACUACGGUGCUGAAGUAACAAAUGCCCUGCUUCCAGGAAAAGCCUCUAAGCAUCAGGUAACAUCAAAUCGUACCCCAAACCGACACAGGUGGUCAGGUAGAGAAUACCAAGGCGCUUGAGAGAACUCGGGUGAAGGAACUAGGCAAAAUGGUGCCGUAACUUCGGGAGAAGGCACGCUGGUGUGUAGGUGAAGUCCCUGCGGAUGGAGCUGAGACCAGUCGAAGAUACCAGCUGGCUGCAACUGUUUAUUAAAAACACAGCACUGUGCAAACACGAAAGUGGACGUAUACGGUGUGACGCCUGCCCGGUGCCGGAAGGUUAAUUGAUGGGGUUAUCCGUAAGGAGAAGCUCUUGAUCGAAGCCCCGGUAAACGGCGGCCGUAACUAUAACGGUCCUAAGGUAGCGAAAUUCCUUGUCGGGUAAGUUCCGACCUGCACGAAUGGCGUAAUGAUGGCCAGGCUGUCUCCACCCGAGACUCAGUGAAAUUGAACUCGCUGUGAAGAUGCAGUGUACCCGCGGCAAGACGGAAAGACCCCGUGAACCUUUACUAUAGCUUGACACUGAACAUUGAGCCUUGAUGUGUAGGAUAGGUGGGAGGCUUUGAAGCGUGGACGCCAGUCUGCGUGGAGCCAACCUUGAAAUACCACCCUUUAAUGUUUGAUGUUCUAACGUUGGCCCCUGACCGGGGUUGCGGA
rnacentral:rRNA from 1 species